UGGACAAUGUAAUUAACAAAAUGAAGCAAAGGAGAAUUUUCCUCCCUCACCAAAUACAAUGUAGCUUUAUAUUUCCUAUAAAUCAUUAAUGUAUGUUGCCAAAGGGCAUCGAAGCGAGCACUUUAUAUGGUUACACAGCCGGCAAUAGAAAAACAAACAUAACUAAAUAACCCUUUCCCUCUCAGCUUCUUCCUAUACAGUCCAAUUGUUGUAACUUGAUCCGAUCAAAUCCAAUUCCACAGAGAUACAAUUGAAUCAAAAUCAAAACUUCCCAAACAAUUAACAAUAAUAAGAAGCAAGUAAGAAAUACCCGUUUACGCCUUUAUGAAAAUCCAAAAAAAAAUUGAAUCCAUAAUCACAUUCACCAAUCACCAAUCCAACAUCAAUGAGAUGCACCUUUAGAUCUCUUCUUAGCUUCACUAUAAAGCACAACACCCAUGAUUGUAAUCCCAAAACCAGUCAUCCCCAUCACAGUAACUGGAUUUCUGAAUAUCAAAACCGAAACAACAGCAGCCACAGCAGCUUUGGCAUUCCCCAAAACUUGA
rnacentral:lncRNA from 1 species